rnacentral:rRNA from 1 species
GACGAACGCUGGCGGCGUGCUUAACACAUGCCAGUCGAACGGAAAGGCCCUGCUUUUGUGGGGUGCUCGAGUGGCGAACGGGUGAGUAACACGUGUGUAACCUGCCCUUGACUUUGGGAUAACUUUAGGAAACUGGGGCUAAUACCGGAUAGGAGAUCCUGCUGCAUGGUGGGGGUUGGAAAGUUUCGGCGGGUGGGGAUGGAGUCGUGGCAUAUCAGCUUGUUGGGGGGGUAGUGGCUUACCAAGGCUUUGACGGGAAGCCGGCCUGAGAGGGUGACCGGCCACGUUGGGACUGGAAUACGGCCCAGACUCCUACGGGAGGCAGCGGUGGGGAAUAUUGCACAAUGGGCGGAGGCCUGAUGCAGCAACGCCGCGUGCGGGAUGACGUCCUUCGGGUUGUAAACCGCUUUCGCCUGUGACGAGGCGUGAGUGACGGUAAUGGGUAAAGAAGCACCGGCUAACUACGUG